UUUGUAAAAAAAAAUUAUUUAAUUUGAUAUGCUACAAAGCAACAAAUUCAAAUAAUAUAAGUAGGAUCGUAAAAAAAGAUAUUGGGUAGGUAUACACAAACGAAUAAGUGGCCCCUAUUGUCUCUAUAUUAGAUUUAGGAACCUCUUAAAAUCAGCAUAAAUAAGCACUAUUUAAGUAAGUUUGCUUCACAAAUAAAAAAAUAUACGCGAACGGCCAUGACUGUAUAGAUAAGGAGAGACGCCACCUAGUGGUCAGUACCGGCACUAACUCCGCUCCAUACAAUUUUGCGUUACGUUUCACUGCUCCAUAGGUCAUGAUUAUAAUAUCCUUGCCAGGUUAGGUUAGGUAAUUAGAAUGUCAUGCAGCUUUUAUACUUAAUUGCUUCAUUGAAUACAAGUGCCUCAAGUAGGGAUCCUGGUUAAACUUUCAUCAGUGUCCACGCGAUUCUUCUAUGUAAAUUUUGGACAUAAGUUAUUUUCUCAACUACACAAAUAAUAAAUUAUGAUAUUCAACUGAUCAA